rnacentral:misc_RNA from 1 species
AGUUGAGUUGAGUUGAGUUGAGUGCAAAAUUCUUCUGAUCCACUAAACAGCAACAUUGAUCAAGUAAUGGUAAGCAAGUAUUACAAUUCUUACUGAAGACAUCAUGUUCAAUUUCGUAUCUCCUUUGAAUGGCUAAAUUGUAUUCACCACAUUUGUAAAAAAAUAUAAACAAAUAAAUAAAAUUUAACCAAUGUAGUACUCUAUCAGUGUAUUUAAUAAACCAAUAAUUGUUUCAAACACUAUUAUUGAUAAAGUCAAUUGUCCUAUAACACUUCAAACUAUAUGGAUGAACUGAAAAUCUUCCAAAUAUUCUACCUAGAGCCAGGAAUUACCUCUUCUUUGGUGUAUAUUAUCAGUUAUAUA